GUUGAGUCUGGUUCAAGAGUCAGCCAGUGAGCCGGCUGAUUCGAAUAUAAUGGUUGUGAGGGAAGAGACACCGUCGAAAGGGCUUGCAAUAGUUCCGAUUCAAGUUUUUGUGCCAGUGUCCCAAACAACCACUGUGCCGGAAUUUGAAGAAACACCUGAGACAGAUUUUGAACCAACCCCUCUGCUACAAAUUGAA